AUGAACGCUGGCGGCGUGCCUAAUACAUGCAAGUCGAGCGAACAGACGAGGAGCUUGCUCCUCUGACGUUAGCGGCGGACGGGUGAGUAACACGUGGAUAACCUACCUAUAAGACUGGGAUAACUUCGGGAAACCGGAGCUAAUACCGGAUAAUAUAUUGAACCGCAUGGUUCAAUAGUGAAAGACGGUUUUGCUGUCACUUAUAGAUGGAUCCGCGCCGCAUUAGCUAGUUGGUAAGGUAACGGCUUACCAAGGCAACGAUGCGUAGCCGACCUGAGAGGGUGAUCGGCCACACUGGAACUGAGACACGGUCCAGACUCCUACGGGAGGCAGCAGUAGGGAAUCUUCCGCAAUGGGCGAAAGCCUGACGGAGCAACGCCGCGUGAGUGAUGAAGGUCUUCGGAUCGUAAAACUCUGUUAUUAGGGAAGAACAAAUGUGUAAGUAACUAUGCACGUCUUGACGGUACCUAAUCACAAAGCCACGGCUAACUACGUG
rnacentral:rRNA from 1 species